rnacentral:rRNA from 1 species
GGCCUACCAUGGUGGUAACGGGUAACGGGGUGUUAGGGCACGACACCGGAGAGGGAGCCUGAGAAACGGCUACCACAUCCAAGGAUGGCAGCAGGCGCGCAAAUUACCCAAUCCCGACACGGGGAGGUAGUGACAAUAAAUAACAAUACGGGGUUCUUUCGGAUCUCGUAAUUGGAAUGAGUACAAUUUAAAUCUCUUAACGAGGAACAAUUGGAGGGCAAGUCUGGUGCCAGCAGCCGCGGUAAUUCCAGCUCCAAUAGCGUAUAUUAAAGUUGUUGCAGUUAAAAAGCUCGUAGUUGAAUUUCGGGACCAAUUUGUUGGUCGUGCCUCGGUACGUACUGGUAUUAUUGGUUUCUACCUUCUGAAGAACCUUGAUGUCAUUAAUUUGGUGUCUUGGGGAAUCAGGACUGUUACUUUGAAAAAAUUAGAGUGUUUAAAGCAAGCAUACGCUUGAAUACAUUAGCAUGGAAUAAUGAAAUAGGACGUUUGAUUCUAUUUUGUUGGUUUCUAGGAUCGACGUAAUGAUUAAUAGGGAUAGUUGGGGGCAUUAGUAUUCAAUUGUCAGAGGUGAAAUUCUUGGAUUUAUUGAAGACUAACUACUGCGAAAGCAUUUGCCAAGGAUGUUUUCAUUAAUCAAGAACGAAAGUUAGGGGAUCGAAGACGAUCAGAUACCGUCGUAGUCUUAACCAUAAACUAUGCCGACUAGGGAUCGGAUGAUGUUAAUUUUUUAAUGACUCAUUCGGCGCCUUACGGGAAACCAAAGUGUUUUGGGUUCA